rnacentral:rRNA from 1 species
AGAGUUUGAUCCUGGCUCAGAACGAACGCUGGCGGCGUGGAUAAGACAUGCAAGUCGAACGAGAGAAUUGCUAGCUUGCUAAUAAUUCUCUAGUGGCGCACGGGUGAGUAACACGUGAGUAACCUGCCCCCGAGAGCGGGAUAGCCCUGGGAAACUGGGAUUAAUACCGCAUAGUAUCGAAAGAUUAAAGCAGCAAUGCGCUUGGGGAUGGGCUCGCGGCCUAUUAGUUAGUUGGUGAGGUAACGGCUCACCAAGGCGAUGACGGGUAGCCGGUCUGAGAGGAUGUCCGGCCACACUGGAACUGAGACACGGUCCAGACACCUACGGGUGGCAGCAGUCGAGAAUCAUUCACAAUGGGGGAAACCCUGAUGGUGCGACGCCGCGUGGGGGAAUGAAGGUCUUCGGAUUGUAAACCCCUGUCAUGUGGGAGCAAAUUAAAAAGAUAGUACCACAAGAGGAAGAGACGGCUAACUCUGUGCCAGCAGCCGCGGUAAUACAGAGGUCUCAAGCGUUGUUCGGAAUCACUGGGCGUAAAGCGUGCGUAGGCUGUUUCGUAAGUCGUGUGUGAAAGGCGCGGGCUCAACCCGCGGACGGCACAUGAUACUGCGAGACUAGAGUAAUGGAGGGGGAACCGGAAUUCUCGGUGUAGCAGUGAAAUGCGUAGAUAUCGAGAGGAACACUCGUGGCGAAGGCGGGUUCCUGGACAUUAACUGACGCUGAGGCACGAAGGCCAGGGGAGCGAAAGGGAUUAGAUACCCCUGUAGUCCUGGCAGUAAACGGUGCACGCUUGGUGUGCGGGGAAUCGACCCCCUGCGUGCCGGAGCUAACGCGUUAAGCGUGCCGCCUGGGGAGUACGGUCGCAAGAUUAAAACUCAAAGAAAUUGACGGGGACCCGCACAAGCGGUGGAGUAUGUGGCUUAAUUCGAUGCAACGCGAAGAACCUUACCUGGGCUUGACAUGUAAUGAACAACAUGUGAAAGCAUGCGACUCUUCGGAGGCGUUACACAGGUGCUGCAUGGCCGUCGUCAGCUCGUGUCGUGAGAUGUUUGGUUAAGUCCAGCAACGAGCGCAACCCCUGUUGCCAGUUACCAGCACGUGAAGGUGGGGACUCUGGCGAGACUGCCCAGAUCAACUGGGAGGAAGGUGGGGACGACGUCAGGUCAGUAUGGCCCUUAUGCCCAGGGCUGCACACGUACUACAAUGCCCAGUACAGAGGGGGCCGAAGCCGCGAGGCGGAGGAAAUCCUGAAAACUGGGCCCAGUUCGGACUGUAGGCUGCAACCCGCCUACACGAAGCCGGAAUCGCUAGUAAUGGCGCAUCAGCUACGGCGCCGUGAAUACGUUCCCGGGUCUUGCACACACCGCCCGUCA